AGAUUUGAAAUGAGUAUGGUUUGAUAUACACUUGAUUUACACAGAUAUUUAUCCUUUGUUUUAAUUUAAACUUUCAAAAUUUGACUUGCAUGUUGAUAUUGUAAUUUGGCUCCCAAUAUUUUCAGAAUGACGGGUAUGAGAAUAAUUUUCUAAUUUCUGUGAGAAAGAUGAAAUUGUGACUAAAAAUUAAGACUAAGGUUGACGGCUUUGUUCAUUUCUAGUUUAAUAUCUAUGAUUUACUGCAUUACCUGUUGCUUUGCGUUGUACCGUGUAGGAUUUUCGUCCAAAAUCAAUAAUGGUCCAAUGAAUUUCAGUAGGCAGUAGAAUAUCUAGGAGAUUUUAUUUUCUCAUUAUUACAGUUUGUUUGCAGUUUUGAGGUAAAGAUCAAUAAAACGAUACCCACAGUCAGCUUUCUGUUUAAGCAUGACAGUACAGGUCAUGUUAUUCUGUGUUUGUGAAACAUGGACUGAGAAGUUUCAGUUUAUAA
rnacentral:misc_RNA from 1 species